GAGAGAUAUUGUUUGGAAAUGGGACAAAGAUUGACAUCAAAGGAGCCGACAAUCAGACGGCCGUAAUAGCUCUGUUUCUGUUAUCAGCUGCUUUGGCUAUAAGCUUGAUUAUUAUAGCUUUCCUGAUUCAUAUCAUCAAGACUAAAUCGUGUGAGUCCAGCAAAGCUGCUGAAGUUCUGCAAACACAUCCUGCAGCAGAUCGACGACGCCAGCAGGUGAGAUACUUCAGAAAAGAUUCAACGAGAAUCAUUUGUUGGAAUAUUGUUUUGCUUUUUAUAAGUUUAUAGAAAUAUCUGCAGGCUCAUCCUAUUUUU